rnacentral:rRNA from 1 species
CCUACGGGUGGCAGCAGUGGGGAAUAUUGGACAAUGGGCGAAACCCUGAUCCAGCCACGCCGCGUGAGUGAUGAAGGAUUUCGGUGUGUUAAGCUCUAUCAGCAGGGAAGAAGAGGACGGUACCUGAUUAAGCAGCCCCGGCUCACUACGUGACAGCAGCCGCGGGAAUACGUAGGGGGCAAGCGUUAUCCGGAUUUAGUGGGUUUUAAGGGUGCGUAGGCGGAAUGCCAAGUCAGCGGUAAAAUCGCGGGGCUCAACCUAGCUCCGCCGUUGAAAAUGGCGUUCUUGAGUGGGCGAGAAGUACGCGGAAGGCGUGGUGUAGCGGUGAAAUGCAUAGAUAUCACGCAGAACUCCGAUUGCGAAGGCAGCGUACCGGCGCCCAACUGACGCUGAUGCACGAAAGCGUGGGUAUCGAACAGGAUUAGAUACCCGGGUAGUC